CUUUCCCCAAGUACGUGCUUCAAGACACAGCUAGACCGUGAAUGGGAAAGCUUCCUUGUCCACAUACAUUCAAGAAAUAAUGGAUCCAACCAAGUUCACUGGUUUCUUUCCUGCAGGCCUUCCCAGACCCUUCAGUAAGCUGAGGAGCUGGGACUCUCCAAGAGAGCAGUACCGUGUGCCACCUCCCCACCCUGCUCGGACCACAGAACACUAUUCCAGAACAUGUGGUAGGGCUGGCCUGCCACAGCACACAUGCGCAGACAUGCUGGGUUCCUGGAAAGAAGUCAGGAGCCCCGGUUCCACUCCCAGAACUCCACUGACGCCCUGUGUGACCUCAAGUCGGCCCAGUCACCUCCCCGGGGCUUCGUUCCCUCAUCGAGAAACUGUGUCUGUGCUGUCAAGGUGGGACAGGAGCAAGGAAGUGUGUUAUUUUCCUGUUGCUGGAUAACGCAUCACCCCAAACUUAGUAACUAAAGCAGCACAAGUCUAUCACCUUACAGUGGCAGAGGUCAGAAGUGUAGAAUGGUCUCACUGGACAAAAAUCAAGGAACAGCAGCUCUGAGGACAGUGACAACCGGGAAGCACCACAGGUAUCUCUGUCACCACUGAGAAAGCCUCCUGUAUGGAAGCCAGUGCAGAGGUGAACAAGGGCACAAACAGGAAGAGACAGACCCAGGACCUCCUGCCUGCCCACAGCCCAGGUCACCCUGGGUCCAGAAUUCCCUCUGCUCUUCUGUUUCUCCUGAAACUAAUUUCACCUGCAGCCAAAUGCCUACAUUAACAUAUUCAAGAAAGACCUGCCAGGGCAUGGCACAGCUUCCAAGAGCCCUGAAGUGUCUCCUAAACCCAAGAUCUAAAAUGCUCUGAUUCUAAAUCCAGGUAAGGCUCAAGGAGAAUCCACUAUCUCCCCUUUGCCAUGAGCCCCUCCAGUGUGUGUGUGUGUGUGUGUGUGUGUGUGUGUGUGUGUGUGUGUGUGUUGAGACAGGUUUCACUAUGUUGUCCAGGCUGACUUUGAACUUGUGAUCCUCCUGGAGUAGCUGGGACUAUAGGUGUGUGCCACCACGCCCAACUCCCUUCCAGAUUUUAUAUGCCCUCAUAGAUACCAGAACAUCCUUGGGCUCUUUUGGCCCAGGCAUCCACGGUUUCUCCAAGUCUGUUUAUUCUGCAUGGGAAAUGCCUCAUGUAACCAGAGGACCCCCAGCCUCUUCCCCAGGCACUCAACUCUUCCUUUCCAAGUUCAUCUGCUUGGGGGGCUAACAAACACUCCUGAGAUAACUGCAGGCCUCCAUGGUUGUUGUAGGACAUCCAUAUGGAAAUUUGUGGCUGCAGAAGGAAAGGAUCCAGAAAAAAAGGAACAGCUCGCUCUCUCUAAGCCCAGCUGAAGAGAGUGAAGGUGUUUCCUCCUCAACCCCUUCUGUUACACAGGUUUUCCUGGUCCACUCCACUCCUGGGGUGCAGCUCUUGACUAUUCCAAGGGAAAGACACGUCUUGAUAUGUAUCCUGGGGCAGGAAUACCACCUUCAGAGAAUUCAGCAAUUUAGAAAGAAAUUUAAGGCCAGGCAGGUGAGGAUGAGA